GCAUCUUAUCGCCAACACUAUAAUUUGUCUACUGAACCAGUGAACGUGUAUCCCAUGCUUGACGCAGCCAUAUCCUAUCUUUUGACAUAAAAAAACAAAACUUGUGGACCCACCACCAGCCAACAUGAUCUGUGAUCGAACGAUUGAUAUUUUUUCUCCAAUAAAUAAAUUAAAGUAAUAAACAGUCGGGCCGUAAAACAGACCAUUCCCCGCUCACACAUCUCCUCCACGUGUAGCUUAGCCAAUAAUGGAGUUGCCGCAACGUCGCAGUCCCUCUCUGGCUCUCUCACCCGUCUUCUUCCCCGUCUUCUUCUCUAGCAUCACAUGUUGUUGUGCAUAUCAAAUCAUGUCGUCCUUUAAAUUUCCUUACCAGUCAGUCUCAACUCUCAACUUCACCGAAUCGAAAGAGGAUUAGAACGGCGUUGGUAUCGUAUGUAUGAUGUAUCUAGAGAGAGAAGAAGAAUACAAACCCUAGAUUUUUCUUUUUCUGCGUCCGUGCCAUUGGAAUUGGUGUUUUUUUUCACAGAUCUCUAGCAAGAAAUAGAGAGAGAGAGAGAGAGAGGAGGGAAACAGAAAGACUGACAGAAGAGAGUGAGCACAGACGGGCAAUUGUACAUAAUCUAUUCUUUUCAUUUGCCGGUGCGUGCUCAUUUCUCUUUCUGUCAGCUUCAUUGUUCACUUUCCUCAACGAACAACGAUACAUGCAUUUACAGGUGUCCUCUCGCCCUUUCUAUCCAAACAGCUGUCGCUUCCAUAAUUCUUUCUCCAAUCGCAAAAUGGGUAGUACAAGAUGGUAAUCGAGGUGUUGACAUGUGGAUCCGGAAGAGGCAAGUCUGCUGCGACGACCAAACAGUGCAAAUUAAAGCGACUACUACACUUCGCUAUUCUGUGGUGGAGCUGGGGAGUGCUCAACAACAGUUGUACCUUUUUUCAGGAAAAAAGAUUAUCUAGGGUUUUUUUAAUGGCACUUUUUCUUCUUCAUUGAUUGAUGUUGUUCUAGAAUUCCAAGGGGCUAAUAAAGGGCCGUUUGGUUUGCUGUGGUAUCGUAUAUUCAUAUCACGCUAAAUCUGACCCCGAUUUUUUUUUUCUCGUCUAUCUCAUCCCCGAUAGGGUUUUGCAUAUAUAUAUAUAUAUAUAUAUAUAUAUAUAUAUAUAUAUAUAUCAGAUUAUUUCAAGUUUGGAAUACUGUUUCGGGCUUCUCGAUUUGGAUUUUGUUGACACGGAAGAAGAAGUGUGUGCGUUGCUUUUGGAAAUGAAUGUGCUGGAGUUGAUUUCACGGAUAAGGGAAGAACAUUUUGUUUCCUCUUCGUCUGGAGAUCGUACGAGCUGUUUGGCGGUCAUGGACACGGUUUGGGCGGAUUUCCUUGUAGAGCUUCUAUUUGCUGCAGCAGCUUAUGAUCUCUAUCAGAGGUCUUGGCGAGGCAGCUAGCUAAGAAUUGGUGAUAAUAGCAACUGUGUUAUAAUAAUGGGUACUUGAAGUUCAAUGGUUAUAGUAUCAGUGGCUGCCGUGGAUGCAUAAUGUUGAAAGGGAUCAUGCAAGAGUUUCAACAGUCGCAACUCACAAGGGAUCUGAUUUCCAAUGGAAGAAGACAUGCAGUGCAUGAUUUCAAAUAGCGAAGUUUCGUAUUCAAAUAGCAGCACCCACCAGUUUCCUGCAAGCAAACGAGGAAGGUGUGGUGGCAGCACUUCAAAAUUCAAAGUUGUGGUACCACAGCAAAAAUGGUCAUUGGGUGCACAAAUAUAUGCUAAUCACCAAAAAAUCUGGCUUGGAACUUUCAAAGCUGUGAAGGAGGCACCUAUGGCUUAUGAUAGCGCAGCAGUCAAACUCCGGAGUUGAGGUAACAUUGUGCAAAUGUGCAAGGCUAGUCAUUCCCAAAUUGUGCAAGCCGAAGUUAGUCUUAAUGUGGCGACAGCAUGUGGCAAUGGAGGUGUAUUGGUCAAACAAAUUUUUCGAAAGGAGAUCGUUCCAAGUGAUGUUGGUAAACUGAAUUCAAGGCUAGUCAUCCCCAAUAUAUCUCAAAAUGCAGAAGAAUUUAUGAUUGAUGGGAAGGCGGAUGACAUUCUGCUAGUUUUCUAUGACCAGGUCGAUGAGGCAAUGGAAAUUUAGGUAUUGUUACUGGAGGAGCAUUCUGAGUUUUAUGUUCACUGCAGUUGAAGGCUGGCCAAUGACAAUCACAUAAAAUAUUAAUUGGCCGAGGCACAAGCAUUUUUCAUGAUUGGAAUUUGGAGCGGACAAGGUUGAAAGCAGCAAUGUUACCGCAACCCUGAAGAUGCAAAACCAGCGUGUUGAGACUCUUAACUCAAGUUGAAUUGCAGAUGGCUCAAUAGGAUGAGGAAUCAAAUGGAGUCGUUAUGUAGGAAGCAUGCAUAUAAUCAUCAGAUUAUUAGAGGUUUGGAUUUGCCGGCGAA